rnacentral:rRNA from 1 species
GUGGGUGGCAAGCGUUGUCCGGAAUUAUUGGGCGUAAAGCGCGCGCAGGCGGGUCCUUUAAGUCUGAUGUGAAAGCCCACGGGCUCAACCGUGGAGGGUCAUUGGAAACUGGGGGACUUGAGUACAGAAGAGGAAAGCGGAAUUCCAAGUGUAGCGGUGAAAUGCGUAGAGAUUUGGAGGAACACCAGUGGCGAAGGCGGCUUUCUGGUCUGUAACUGACGCUGAGGCGCGAAAGCGUGGGGAGCAAACAGGAUUAGAUACCCUGGUAGUCCACGCCGUAAACGAUGAGUGCUAAGUGUUAGGGGGUUUCCGCCCCUUAGUGCUGCAGCUAACGCAUUAAGCACUCCGCCUGGGGAGUACGGCCGCAAAGGCUG